AGAGUUUGAUCCUGGCUCAGAUUGAACGCUGGCGGCAUGCUUAACACAUGCAAGUUGAACGGUAACGGCAAAAACAAUCCUUCGGGUGCGUUUUUGGACGACGAGUAGCGGACGGGUGAGUAAUACAUAGGAAUCUGCCCAGUAGCGGGGGAUAGCCCGGGGAAACUCGGAUUAAUACCGCAUACGCCCUACGGGGGAAAGCGGAGGAUCUUCGGACUUCGCACUAUUGGAUGAGCCUAUGUCGGAUUAGCUUGUAGGUAGGGUAACGGCCUACCUAGGCUACGAUCUGUAGCUGGUCUGAGAGGACGAUCAGCCACACUGGGACUGAGACACGGCCCAGACUCCUACGGGAGGCAGCAGUGGGGAAUAUUGGACAAUGGGGGCAACCCUGAUCCAGCAAUGCCGCGUGUGUGAAGAAGGCCUGCGGGUUGUAAAGCACUUUCAAUCGUGAAGAAAAGCACACGGAUAAUACCCGUGUGUCUUGACGUUAACGAUACAAGAAGCACCGGCUAACUCCGUGCCAGCAGCCGCGGUAAUACGGAGGGUGCGAGCGUUAAUCGGAAUUACUGCGCGUAAAGAGCACGUAGGCGGUUUGGUCAGUCGGAUGUGAAGCCCGGGCUUAACCUGGGAAUUGCAUUCGAUACUGCCAAGCUAGAGUUUAGUAGAGGAUGCGAUUCCGGUGUAGCGGUGAAUGCGUAGAAUCCGGAGGACAUCAUGGCGAAGCAGCAUCUGGGCAGACUGACGCUGAGGUGCGAAAGCUUGGGGAGCAACGAUAGAUACCUGGUAGUCCACGCAGUAACGAUGUCACUAGCUGUUUGUUUUCCAAGUGGCGGCAGCUAACGCGGUAAGUUGACCGCCUGGGGAGUACGCCGGCAACGGUAAAACUCAAAGGAAUUGACGGGGGCCCGCACAAGCGGUGGAGCAUGUGGUUUAAUUCGAUGCAACGCGAAGAAUCCUUACCAGGCCUUGACAUCCUGAGAACUUUCUAGAGAUAGAUC
rnacentral:rRNA from 1 species